UGGUAUGGAAAGGCGGUGAGCCGGGAGGGAGAGGGAGUUUGCAGGUACCGCCAGAACUUUGGCUGGUCUCUCUAAAGGCACAGAUUUAACUCCGGGCAAGAAAGAAGAUAAGGACACAGAAGCUGUGAGAGGAUAAGUCAUCUCCCAAAUGUCAUAUUGCAGUUUGGGAAACAUGCAAAGCCCUUCUGAGUACUCAACGGAAAAUUCUAUGUAUACUCAUAGAAGUGUUUGGAAUCCAAGAAGAAAGUGAACUUCCCAGCCUAGCUCCAAGCUGGUCUGAUCAACCCGAAGUGAAGAUACCGGUUCUAACCCAAAACUAUUGGGCAAUCUUUAAAGGCAGUAAGGUGUGACGCUCCAGACUGGCAGCUUGGCAAGACGGAGCCCAUGGAUACCAGCACACGGGAAUCUGGACCGUUCACUCUGACAGCAGUCAGCACUGGGAACAAAAGGAAUGGAGGAAAAAAAGCGCAAAUGUAUUUUUACAUAUUGUAGGCAUAUGGCCACAAGACCAGCAGAAAUACAUUUAAUUACCAAUUGCGCGCAUUGAGGAGAAAAACACUGGGAAGGAAAAAAAAAAACUGUGUACACAGCAAUAUUAUUCUACUUUAACUUUUCACCUCCUUUUUUUUUUUUUUAAUUGAAGAUAAAAGGGAUGUGGAUUAGAAUCGCAGAGGGUUAUCUACUGGCAUCCCAUCAAAGGUGAUGUGGGUUUUUCGUGUGCAUUCCUCCAUACCGUAACAUUAUAUAAGGACGUACACGUUUUCUUUUAAUGAUUUUAAUUAUAAAAUAAUUUCACUAAGGUAU